CCAUUAGCCAUGUUUAUUUAGUGUUAGUAAAAAAUAAAUUCUUUUUCACAGCAGAUGUCAAAAUUAUAUUUUGAGAUCAAAGAGUUUUACUAAUUCUUGAAAAUUUUAUAAAGACAGGGGUUAGACGUCCUUUAUGUUUAAGGUUAUUUAAAGCAGGUAUUAAAAAUUGAGAUUCUAAACCUAAACAAAGUGGCAGUAACUUAUCCCAGGCAGAGAGGCUUGAACCAUUAUUAGAUAGUCCUCUAUUUAUCUUACUAAUAUUUAUUUUUUGUGUGGCUGUUUUAAAACUGGGAUAGUCCUAAUUUAAGCUCAAGUCUUAUGAAAAUACAUAUUAGGGUGUUUUAGCCACAGUAGCAGUAUUAUUACAAAUUAUUACAGGGCGGUAUUGAAUUUGCGAGUAGUUGUACCUUAAUAAGGUAUGUCGAAGGGGUUAUAGGUUAAGUACAUAUUGUCCGUCGCUCUCUUAUUA
rnacentral:rRNA from 1 species